AUUGAACGCUGGCGGCAGGCUUAACACAUGCAAGUCGAGCGGGGGAAGGUAGCUUGCUACUGGACCUAGCGGCGGACGGGUGAGUAAUGCUUAGGAAUCUGCCUAUUAGUGGGGGACAACAUCUCGAAAGGGAUGCUAAUACCGCAUACGUCCUACGGGAGAAAGCAGGGGAUCUUCGGACCUUGCGCUAAUAGAUGAGCCUAAGUCGGAUUAGCUAGUUGGUGGGGUAAAGGCCUACCAAGGCGACGAUCUGUAGCGGGACUGAGAGGAGGAUCCGCCACACUGGGACUGAGACCCGGCCCAGACUCCUACGUGAGGCAGCAGUCGGGAAUAUUGGACAAUGGGGGGAACCCUGAUCCAGCCAUGCCGCGUGUGUGAAGAAGGCCUUAUGGUUGUAAAGCACUUUAAGCGAGGAGGAGGCUACUUUAGUUAAUACCUAGAGACAGUGGACGUUACUCGCAGAAUAAGCACCGGCUAACUCUGUGCCAGCAGCCGCGGUAA
rnacentral:rRNA from 1 species